AUUGAACGCUGGCGGAAUGCUUUACACAUGCAAGUCGAACGGUAGAGGGGGCAACCCCCUUGAGAGUGGCGAACGGGUGAGUAAUAUAUCGGAACGUGCCCAGUCGUGGGGAUAACGUAGCGAAAGUUACGCUAAUACCGCAUACGAUCUACGGAUGAAAGCGGGGGACUCGCAAGAGCCUCGCGCGAUUGGAGCGGCCGAUAUCAGAUUAGGUAGUUGGUGGGGUAAAGGCUCACCAAGCCAACGAUCUGUAGCUGGUCUGAGAGGACGACCAGCCACACUGGAACUGAGACACGGUCCAGACUCCUACGGGAGGCAGCAGUGGGGGAAUUUUGGACAAUGGACGCAAGUCUGAUCCAGCCAUUCCGCGUGCAGGAUGAAGGCCUUCGGUUGUAACGUAGCUUUUGUACGGUAACGAAACGGUGAGCUCUAUACAGUUGUCUAAUGUACGGUACCGUAAGGAA
rnacentral:rRNA from 1 species